GACGAACGCUGGCGGCGUGCUUAACACAUGCAAGUCGAACGGAAAGGCCCUGCUUUUGUGGGGUGCUCGAGUGGCGAACGGGUGAGUAACACGUGAGUAACCUGCCCUUGACUUUGGGAUAACUUCAGGAAACUGGGGCUAAUACCGGAUAGGAUCUCCUGCUGCACGGUGGGGGUUGGAAAGUUUCGGCGGUUGGGUAUGGACUCGCGGCUUAUCAGCUUGUUGGUGGGGUAGUGGCUUACCAAGGCUUUGACGGGUAGCCGGCCUGAGAGGGUGACCGGCCACAUUGGGACUGAGAUACGGCCCAGACUCGUACGGGAGGCAGCAGUGGGGAAUAUUGCACAAUGGGCGGAAGCCUGAUGCAGCAACGCCGCGUGCGGGAUGCCGGCCUUCGGGUUGUAAACCGCUUUCGCCUGUGACGAAGCGUGAGUGACGGUAAUGGGUAAAGAAGCACCGGCUAACUACGUG
rnacentral:rRNA from 1 species